rnacentral:rRNA from 1 species
UACGGAGGGAGCGAGCGUUGUUCGGAAUUACUGGGCGUAAAGCGUAUGUAGGCGGCUUCGUAAGACAGGUGUGAAAUCCCAGAGCUUAACUUUGGAACUGCAUUUGUGACUGCAAGGCUUGAGUAUCGGAGAGGUUGGCGGAAUUCCCAGUGUAGCAGUGAAAUGCGCAGAUAUUGGGAGGAACACCGGUGGCGAAGGCGGUUCUCUGGGCCUUACCUGACGCUGAGGAGCGAAAGCGUGGGGAGCGAACAGG